rnacentral:rRNA from 1 species
UACAGAGGGUGCAAGCGUUGUUCGGAAUUAUUGGGCGUAAAGCGCGUGUAGGCGGCCAGGUAGGUCCGAUGUGAAAUCUGGAGGCUCAACCUCCAGCGGUCAUUGGAAACCAUCUGGCUAGAGUCCGGAAGAGGAGAGUGGAAUUCCUGGUGUAGCGGUGAAAUGCGCAGAUAUCAGGAAGAACACCCGUGGCUAAGGCGGCUCUCUAGUACGGUACUGACGCUGAGACGCGAAAGCGUGGGGAGCGAACAGG